CCAAAAAUUAAGCCUAUUUACCCUUUAUAAAAACCACACUCAACUAAACCACAAUAAAACAUUUUAUCAGUUUAGUAAAGGCGAUUAAAAAACUUUCUAGCGCUAUACUUUUAGUACCGCAAGGGAAAAAUGAAAUAGUUUUGAAAUAGUCUUUAAGCAAAAAACAGCAGAGACUAUUACUCGUACCUUUUGCAUCAUGGUUUAGCCAGUCUUGUUCAAGCAAAGCGAAACAUCAGUUUGACCCCCCGAAACUAGGCGAGCUACUUUAAAACAGCUUAAUAGAGCCAACCCGUCUCUGUCGCAAAAGAGUGGGAUGAUUUUUAAGUAGAGGUGAAAAGCCUACCGAGCUUAGAGAUAGCUGGUUAUUCAGGAAAAGAAUUUUAGUUCGACCUUAAGUUUAUUUAUUAUUUAAAAAAACCCCCUUAAACUUAAGAGCUAUUCAAAUAAGGCACAGCUUAUUUGAAAAAGGAUACAACCUAUUAAAAAGGGUAAAAAAAUUUAUACAUGACAAGUGGGCCUAGAAGCAGCCACCUUUAAGAAAGCGUUUAAGCUCCUCUUUCCCCUCACCUUAAUUCCUUAAUAUGCCUUUAACCCUUUAUUUAUACUGAAUGGUUCUAUACUAUAUAGAAACCCCCCUGCUAAAACUAGUAACAAGAAAUUGAUUUUUCUCCAAAAUAUAUAUAUAAACCAAAAUGGACAAACCAUUGGUUAUUAACGUCAAUAAAACAAUAUAGCAACUUCACUAGAAAACACUAUUAAUCCAUACGUUAACCUUACACAAGUAUAUUUCUGGAAAGAUUAAAAGAAAGAGAAGGAACUCGGCAAAUCAUAACCCCGCCUGUUUACCAAAAACAUCGCCUCUUGAAUAACCAUAAGAGGUCCAGCCUGCCCAGUGAUAUAAUUUAACGGCCGCGGUACCCUGACCGUGCAAAGGUAGCAUAAUCACUUGUUCUCUAAAUAAGGACUAGUAUCAACGGCAUCACGAGGGUUAUACUGUCUCCUCUUUUUAAUCAGUGAAAUUGACCUCUCCGUGAAGAGGCGGGGAUAAUUAUACAAGACGAGAAGACCCCAUGGAGCUUUAAACCCAAUAACAGCCCACACAAGUUUUAUCCUAAAAUGAAAAAGCAAUGUUUAUUGGUUUUAGGUUGGGGUGACCACGGAGAAAAACCAAACCUCCACGAUGAAUGGACCUUAAUCCUAAUCUACGAGAUACUACUCCAAGAAUCAAUAAUUUGACAUAAUAUGAUCCGACAACGAUCAACGAACCAAGUUACCCUGGGGAUAACAGCGCAAUCCAUUUCAAGAGCCCCUAUCGACAAAUGGGUUUACGACCUCGAUGUUGGAUCAGGGUAUCCUAGUGGUGCAGCCGCUACUAAAGGUUUGUUUGUUCAACAAUUAAAAC
rnacentral:rRNA from 1 species